GGGGAUAUGGCUUAGUGGUAAAGAACUUGCCUAGUGUGCAUGAGGCCUUGGGUUCUAUCCCCAGUACCACCA
rnacentral:tRNA from 1 species